AGUGGCGGACGGGUGAGUAACGCGUGGGUAACCUGCCUCAUACAGGGGGAUAACAGUUAGAAAUAGACUGCUAAUACCGCAUAAGACCACAGCACCGCAUGGUGCAGGGGUAAAAACUCCGGUGGUAUGAGAUGGACCCGCGUCUGAUUAGGUAGUUGGUGGGGUAACGGCCUACCAAGCCGACGAUCAGUAGCCGGCCUGAGAGGGUGAACGGCCACAUUGGGACUGAGACACGGCCCAA
rnacentral:rRNA from 1 species